rnacentral:misc_RNA from 1 species
CAGAGACAAAGAGGGAAGAACGCCGUUACAUUUAGCAGCAAGUAAAGGGUUAUUGGGUAGUGGUAAGGCGUUGAUAGGUGCAGGUGCGCAAGUGGAUGCGAGAAGCAAAGAUGGUCGAACGGCUUUGUUCAGAGCUGCUGCUAAUGGCGACUGUGAAAUGGCGAAGAUGCUUGUUGAAAUGGGUGCUGACCCUACUCUAACUGAAUUGCAUCUUAG